GUUUUACAAAGGAAGCAGUGAUUCAGAGGGUCUUUUCUUUCUGAGAUGUUCACACUGCAAAAUCAAAGCAUCAUGAACAAAAGGUGGCACUUGAAAACGAUGGUCUUAAAAUCAGCCAGAAGUACCUCCUUCAAAUGCUUUAUGAAAAUCCUUAACCCCACCACUGGUUUUCUUCCCAGCAUAAUUCUUGCUGACCCUAAAGGCAGUGCCUCUGAUCAGAAAUAUCAUCAGUCUACAGUCCUUUACAUUUCUAAAAUGUUUCUUGUUGUGAACUACCUUUUCAUUACAGAGAGAAUUAUAUGGCUAAAUCAUCAUUAAUUGAGUUUUAAUCAAAACCUUUUUUUACAUUUUUCAGAUGCUGCCAGGUUGGCAAAAGCCAUGAUUGGUGGGACAAACGUGUGCCUUGAAAAGGAUAUACGUUUUUUGGAGAAACAACCAAAUAAACCAGGCUUGCCUACGGAAUAUUCUAUAGCACAAUCACUCAUUUCAUGCCUCACAAAGUCUGUGAAGCUCCUGGCACCACUGGAUGCCUUUGAACACCAUCUUAUAUGGAGAACUCCCACACCUGUUUUCAUAGUCCUCCCUUUGUUGAGUGUCCAGAAACACAUCCAGGGCACCAAAUGGAUGGACUGGUUCGAAUCAAGUAUGACCUUAUCACUGUGGCCAUGGUAACUACCAACUAACAAGGGAGACAGGUAUAAACUGAAUAUCUCUUGUUUAGUUUAUCACUCUCUGAAUGGCUGAUGCAACACAGCAGCAGUUCCGGGGUAGGAAUCUGUAAAGACAAAGAUUCAGAAAUAAUAUCUCAAAAUCUCACUUCCUGCUCUGCCCUCCUCCUGUGUGUUUCUUUAGCCCUUCUACCUGCCAACAGCUUCUAGCAAGGAUUAGUAGCCAAGGUGGCCAGGUUCCUUGGAGAACAUGCUAAAUGAAACUAUAUAUGUAUAGCUGCCUAAGAUGGGGGAUGGCUGGGUUAACAUCAAGGGGCUGGAAAAGGUAGAGACUGGUAAAAUAGAGGGAAACUAAAAACCCUCAGAGGGAGUUCUCAUGCACUAUGAUGCCUUGUUACAACUCUGCUUAUCCUUCUCCUGAACUUUCAUCUCUCACUUAGAAAGAGGAUGAGAGAUUAAAUCUGUAUGAGAUAUUAAACUCAGAGAUGUUGUAAAUACAGAAAUAAACCUGAAAAGUAAGGCA
rnacentral:lncRNA from 1 species